CCAAGAUAUGCGUUUGGCUAUAAUAUCAUUGAUCCUGUAGCUGGUUUCAAUGGUUCGUUCAAUCAGUGGGUGCUCUGCGCCCAAUGACGAAGCUUAACUUGACUUUCAAAGUGAAGCGGUGGAACCUGAAAACUUACAGACUCGAAACCAAUUGACACCUCUCUCUGUGAGGCUGAUGUGCUCUCAUCCGGAACCGAAAAGGGACCCGUUUCCGUGAUAGGGAUCUGGGGCUUUCACAGCUACAAGGACAGCUCUUGUACAGAUUUGAAGAAGAUGGGUCAAGCAGAUUUGAAGAACACCAUCAGUCAGUUUUUGACCUGGUGCCAUAGGCAGCAGGAUCAGAUGAAACAGUUCAAGUAAAGUACGCCAUCUAGUGACUGCAUAAAAUACAUCCAAUUUAAUUACACUUCACAUAGGUGUAAUGGCCUUCCACUUCAAUGGAAAUAACAAUUAAACCCAAAUUGCCUGCAAAAUUCUCUUUUCCUCUUAAAAUCCUCUCUACUCUCUUACAAUAUAAGAUGACAAAUGAAAUACUAAAGAUAGACUUUUAGUAAACAAUAGCACAGUAAUGUAAUCUAUCUGGAUGAAGGGUUCAUAUCUUGAGCUGAAAAAUGCAUGUAACUUUGCAAGAUUCUGCUUUCUGUUUCCCACUAAUGAAUAGCCAUUUAUUUGAGCAAGUCAUUUAACCUCUAAAAUUAGACGCAUAGAGCUGGCAUACAUGCUGAGUUUGUCAACAGACUAAUAAGCUGCAAGAUCUACACAACAGUGAUGUAAGGAAUGUGUCGCCGGGCCUUUUACUUCUCUACAGCUCAACAAUUCAAUUACAGCUCUAUUCACAUGUGAACUGACUUAACUGUUGGGCCAAUGAUUUCAUUAGCUGGGUGUCCUUUGUGCUUAAUGUUCAUUUAGUCUGUUCAUGCAAUAAAUCAUAGUGAAUAGAGGUCACAUUGUGGGACCAGGCUCCUUUAAUUUAAUGGAGAUGGAUUCUGGCCCACACUCUCCCUUAGCUUAUUAGCUCCCCUUAGAGCAGAAGACACAAUGACCUUCAACCAUAGGGACUGAGCAUGGUUAUCAAUUAGUGAUUCUGAUAGUGAAGGGUAGGCCUCUUUUAUGACCUUGGUCACGAUAUGAGUGAAUGGCCUGUUAUUACACAGAGCAGUCAGAUCUGACUUGGUGUGUGCCUAAACUGAUGGGUUUGAGCAUCCAUCAGCGAUGCAUCAUUAUGCCCACAGUGCUGGUUAAUAUUUUAUAUUUUAUGCCUCUGAGAGGUUGGCACGUCUGCAGUCUGUUUUGGAAGUGGGUGUGUACCUGAGUUGUUUAGACUGAGACAUAAGGGGAGAUAGAGAGAGACAGUGACAAAGAAAAUAGUUCUAGACAAACAAUCAAGAAAAAAAGCACAUUUGAUCGUUAUGGCCAAAAGGACAUGAGGGAUAAAGGACAAUGUAAAAAAAUAUCCAUUCUACUUAGAUUCUGAGGUCAACCUGACACUUUUCACCUUGUAAGGAGGGUUGUGCACAGUGUGUUGAACAGUCAGAGAUAGGACAGUUGGCACUACGCUCUUGAUUCUGUGCCAGAGACUGCUGCUGUGUACGUUUGUGUGAGACAUCUCAAUCAAUCUGAGCUCAUGGUGCUUUAUGUGAGAUGGUGAGUUUUUGGAUUAUGUUGUAUUUACAGUGUUUGGCUGAAGAUUAAAGAUCACUUAAAGCCUUUAAAAGUGUAGUUUCAAUUUUUAGUUAUUUCUUUAAACAACUUUCAUGACUAAGCAACAGUCAAAAUUUAAGCUCAUAAAAUAACACUAUAAGGAAUAAUUUAUUAAAUAUUUAACACAAACUCAGCUAUUCUGCUUCAUCUGGACUGUGUGGGUGUGGUUUGAUCAGAUUUGAUUGACAGCAGCUGAGCCAAAUAACUAAGAUAAAACAGCUUAGACAGAAAUCUCUCAAUAACCAAAAUGAAUCUAAAUUUGGCAAAACAUUUUGUGUUCAUGUAGCAUAUCAUGGCUCAUGGUAGGAAUCAGAUCAUCAAAAUAUGUUUUCAGGGCCUUUAAAUAAUUUGAUUUGGUAAUUUUAUGUUUUUUCUAGGAGAUUGAAUAAUGAAGAAAAGGGUCAUUGUGGCGAGGAUUGUUAUAUUUGUGAAGUAUUUCUCACUA